rnacentral:rRNA from 1 species
AUACGGAGGAUCCGAGCGUUAUCCGGAUUUAUUGGGUUUAAAGGGUGCGCAGGCGGCCAUUUAAGUCAGCGGUUAAAUCGUGGGGCUCAACCCCAUUCUGCCGUUGAUACUGGGUAGCUUAGUUGCGGUGGAGGUUGUCGGGAUUCGUUAUGUAGCGGUGCAAUGCAUAGAUAUGACGAAGAACACCGAUUGCGUAGGCAGCUGACCAGAUCGCAAAUGACGAUCAUGCACGAAAGUGCGGGGAUCGAACAGGAUUAGAUACCCUGGUAGUCCGCACAGUAAACGAUGAAUACUUGUUUUCGGCGAUAUAAUGUCGGAGGCAAAGCGAAAGCGAUAAGUAUUCCACCUGGGGAGUACGCCGGCAACGGUGAAACUCAAAUGAAUUGGCGGGG